rnacentral:rRNA from 1 species
GAUGAACGCUGGCUACAGGCUUAACACAUGCAAGUCGAGGGGAAACGACGGGGAAGCUUGCUUCCCCGGGCGUCGACCGGCGCACGGGUGAGUAACGCGUAUCCAACCUGCCUCUGACUGAGGGAUAACCCGUCGAAAGUCGGCCUAAUACCUCAUGGCAUCGUCUGCGGGCAUCCAACGACGAUUAAAGAUUUCAUCGGUCAGGGAUGGGGAUGCGUCUGAUUAGCUUGUUGGCGGGGUAACGGCCCACCAAGGCUACGAUCAGUAGGGGUUCUGAGAGGAAGGUCCCCCACAUUGGAACUGAGACACGGACCAAACUCCUACGGGAGGCAGCAGUGAGGAAUAUUGGUCAAUGGGCGGGAGCCUGAACCAGCCAAGUAGCGUGCAGGAGGACGGCCCUAUGGGUUGUAAACUGCUUUUAUGCGGGGAUAAAGUGAGGGACGUGUCCUUCAUUGCAGGUACCGAAUGAAUAAGGACCGGCUAAUUCCGUG